rnacentral:sRNA from 1 species
UCGAGGAACACGGGGACUAGUUGGCGUAAUCAGCCUCCAAAUAUUUGGAGGCUUCUGUUUUUGUUUUAUUUAAUCAUA